AUCACUUCUCGGCCUUUUGGCUAAGAUCAAGUGUAGAAAAUUGAUCUGUAACCUUCCCACUACCAAAAGAUAAGGAGGUUUAAUAAAGCUCUGAAUCCAAAGAGUUCUAUUUUUUUAAAAAUAAAUUUGAAUGAAUAAUAAUGAUUGUAACAGGAUCCUGUAUAAUUUCCUUCCCAGACCUUUA